ACCAUUACCACCCCAGAACAUGCCACUUGCCUCUGCCUGAGCAGGAGGCUGCUGAAACUAGGCUCUGCAGUGGGCAAUCGCAAGGUUUGGGCUGCAUUUAAGGCAUCAGCUCUGCUUGGUGGGACGUUAGUGGGCCUCUAGUUGACCCUCUCUGCUUUGGGAAGAGCUGCGCCUUAGACAUGCUAAACCGUGCAGAAAGGCAGAGCGGGAGGUGAGUGUUGGAGUGCCGGUGCUCUGGGUGGUCCCUGCUGGCUGGCUGCCGGGGUCUGGUGGGUUUGUGAGUCAGGGCUAGCGAAUCCUGUGAGCUUGCUAGGGGGCAGGUUUCCUUUACCUAUCCAGUCCAGUUUGCUUUGCUUUCUGGUCGUGCACGUGAAUGCACUCUCCAGUUACUGUACCAUGACACGCAGGGAAGAGGGAAAACCAUAAAACCAGUUGUCUUUUCCACCAGCACUAACUGGCCUCUGCAGGCGGGGCGGGCAGCGAGCCUUGGGGAAUGGCACUCGUGGGGUGUGGGCAUGGGGAGGGGGCUCCAGGCUCUGUGCCAAGGUCAGAGUCCCUCUGCCCAUCUCCCUGCCCGUCCCCGAGGUCGCUGUGCAAAACCCUCAGUGCUGGGCUAGUGGUGGUGCAGGGAAACGGAGGGGAUCGGUACCUGCUCACGCUCUGCCGUUUUGCGCAGCUUGUAGAUGAACUCCACCAUGGCCACAAAGACUGAGAGCACCAGGCCUGCUGCCAAAACGAUGAAAAUCCCACCGAUGUUUUGGAUGCCCAGAGCGCUGGCCUCCUUGUUCUCAUCCUCAGGGCAGCCGUUGCCCCGCCACCACUUCUCCUUCAUCACGUGCAGCUUGUCCUCCUCCUGGAGCUGGAGGAUGGCGAUGGUGAUCUUGUCCCGAUUUAUCUUUGCCUUCUUAGUUUUUAGAGGCCAGCUUAGUCAGCCAAAACACCCACAACAGCCCUUAGCAGGAGCCUGAAGCUGCCGGUCUGUGGCCUUCCAUAAAGAAGCAGGACGUGGAGCCCUGGCCCAUCCCAAUUGCUGCUGUCACUGCUCCCCCUUGUUUUUUCAAUAUGAUCCAAAAUGUGCCAGCAUAGGUUAUUUUGAUAAAACACUAGAAAUAAGGGUAAAUUAACUAACCAAAAUAGUCCCUCAUCAUGCUUGAUAUAUUCCAAAUGCUUUGCCUAUCCAUCUCCUUUUCUCAGUGUGUUUAACAAACGUACUAUUAUGGACCCGUUUCUCGCUGGUUGAAAUUCAUACUUGCUAUAAUCCACUUGAUGAACCUGCAGCUCUGGAGCAAACUGCAUUCAAGAGGCAGGAUAAUCUCCCUCACUCGAAAAUCUGGUCCAGUGCCUGUAAGGUAGAUUUGUGGCAUCUAUCAAGCCUCAAAGAGCAGCAAGAAAUGUAGCCUCCAAAAGGAUUAUUAAAUAUCUGUGCAUUACGAUGGGUAAUUGAAAUGAAUAGCGUACUCAACUUGCUGAUAACGACUUGUUUAACAUUUAUAUAGUUCGGAUCAGAGGCCUCUGGGUUCACUGGCUCUCCCUUUUGCUCUUUCUCUUCCUGCGUUUAAUGCUCCUCGGGUGUUGACACAGGGCUCUUAAACAACAUCAGUGUUCUCCCAGUUUAAAGCACAGAGCAAAAUAAACUGGCAAAAAAUCAAUAGGCUGCAUUUAGUGAAGCUAAUAGGACUUGCAUGAGGCAUUGUAGCUCUUCAGGCAACUUAAAUUACAUGAGACAGGGCUCCCUGGAACAGAAAAAACACUUUUCUCAUCUUAACUCACUCCCUUUGACCUGCUCCAAGGACUUAAUUGUGUUCCAGGAUGCCAAGACGAGCGCUGCUUUUGCGGCUCCAGCACUGCUCAGGGUGCGUGGGCUGGGGCAGGAGCCUCCCUACAGCGAGAGCUGCUCGCGGCACCGCGGAGCCAGCGGCAAGCACACCCUGCACUAGCAAUUCCCGUCCUCGUCGUGGCCUUGUGUCUCCCUGCAGCAGGCGCCACUGCUUGCCGUGGCCUCAUCUUUCCCAGAGAGAAGGACGAGGUUGCUGGUGUUGGCAAGGGCAUGUUGAACCCGAGGAGAAGGCGAGGCGAUGCAGGCUCUACCCAUUGUCUGAAACCUGCCACCGCCUCCUCACCAGGAAUUUAUUUCCCAUUCGUUUCUUUAACUUGGCUAAUGGGAGGUAAAAGUGCUCCUUUCCCAAGUACAGAUCCGCCAGCUGUAAUUCUCGGCGCAGGACUAGCAGGUUGAUGGACCUGGCUAUUUGUUAAAAGUCCAAUUUAGGAGCAAUUGCCAGUCAUCGUGAGAGCAGUCGUCAGUCAAAAAUUGCACGAGCAACCCCGGGGAGCGUGUGGUGCUCCAGCUCCCAGCUCCUUCCGCAAGCUGCAGCCACGAUCCAUUUUGUGCUUAUCAGGGAGAAAAGUUGCUCCUUCCUCCCUUUCCUCCUCAGCUCUUCGACCGUACUUCAGAGGUGGCCGUUUAUUUAUGGGAACGUGGAUGACGGCAACUGGGAACAUACCGUUCAGAUAGGCAAAGCCAUCUUCAUUAGGCACAAUAAUUCAUUAGCAGUAAAUUAAUUGUCAGUAAGGAAUGCACAUAAAUUGCGUUGAUGUCGCUGGGCUUUUUUUGGACGUUUUAUUUUGCAGGACCUCUAAUUUUAUGGCUUGUCAUCUACCCAAAAAAAAUCCUCUCUGGGGUUUGUUACUGCUUUGAACUGGUAUUUGUGGUGCGGUGGCUAGGUGCACAUUUCUUCUCGAUGGAAGCAACGCAUGCUGCCGUGGGCUGUGUACAAGGAGGUGAGGUGGUGGCAGGCAGAGAGCCCCUGCAGGAUGCUCUGGCUUCCCUGCCCCAUGGGAUCCUCGCUUUGCUGCCCAGGGUGGAUGAAGAAGACCCGCAGGGUGGCUCUGAGAUGAAUCCCCCGAGAGCAGUUCCAUCGUGAGCUCCCCAGCGCUGGGAAUAACGGAGAUUAUUGCUAAUAAGCGGAGGCGGUGGCUGAAAGCUGUUAAUCAGUGCCUCCGGGGUUUGCACCAGGGGGCUGUGUCUCUCUCCUGCUUGCAUCUCUCCCACUGACUCGUCCGAGUUUUGGCCAGGGUAAAUAACGUCCGAAUCUGGUCCUUGAGACAGCAUCUUAAUCAGCCCCUGCCUUGGCGCUGAAUGAAACGCGUGUAGGAAAAGCUGAGUACCAGCCCCUCAGAAUGCAGCAAAUGCAACGAGCACCGAGAACGCCUCCAAACUCAUUCUUUAGAGUCACAGCUCAGAAGCUGUCUUUAAUAACCAAUGCUUCAAGACCAGUCACCCAAAUAAAUUAAUGGAAUAGUUUAGAGGAGCCAAUAUAAGGCAUCUUGCCAAGACAUAUAUGCUUUUUUAUCAGUGAAAUUGGCAAGAAAGUAACUUUCAGGCUUACGAUUUUCAAUUCCAGCCUGUAUGAAAAAAUAAAUUGAUUUUCACUGACGGAAGAUACUUACUCUUGAGGAUUUAACAUUUCUGUACAAGUGAAUAUAUAUGUACACACAUCCACACACUCUCACACCCGUACGCCAAACGACACAUUAAACCCAGCAUUUGUUCAGAGCGAGAGAGCAUCUCCUGCAAGAUAUGAAGGAUUUCUGGCAUGAUUUGCCAUGAAACCUAGAUGCUGCUCCUAAAUUAAUUGAUCUGUUUAUUCCUGUAACUCAAUCUGCAUUGCCAGGGAAGAAAUAGCUUCUCAAAAGUUCUUUUCAUGAAGUCGAAGUCUGCCAGUGCAGCUAGGAAAAGGCUGGCUUCUGCUUCCUGUUUGCCGUAGGUGGUGGGGCCGCACAGGCAAGCCCAUGGGGCCGUGUUGGCACACCCACGGACACGGACCUGGCUUGGCCCAUGAGAGAACUUCUGCAGGGACACGGUGGGCUUGGCAUGAGCCCUUCACCAGCCUAACACUAGGCAGCAGAACCAUUCAGCAUUUUGGGACCAUGCUUUCCACCAGGGUUUCUCUGACACUGAGCACGAGGGUGGUCACUGCCCUGCACCCUCCUGGACCUUCGUGCUCCUGGGGGGUGUCCCUGAGAGUGUGAUGCCAGCCAAGCAGCUUCGCCAAACCCGCCGCAGGAUUUCUCCCGUGAUUUCACCAAGGACUCGCUGUGGGGUGGGGGGACACUCAUCAGGGCCUUAAAUUGCUCUCCCCUGUUUCCUGUGCGCAAAGGACAAGUGAGCAUGGCAACCCACACGAGCGCUCCCACUGCACCAGUAAUUGAACGCUUGUCAGAGGGGACAUCCCUGAUAAUUCAUCUCCAAACAGCAAUAAUAAUAAAACAGCAAAAGGAAAAUACACUGCGUCAAUAAACCCUGCCAAAUGCCCGUUAGGAGCCCGAGGAAUGAUUCUGAUGGAUAAUGAUAGGAAGCAAUAAAGAUGCUAUGGCCUUGAUGAUUUAAAAAAAAAGAUAGAGUUUCCUUUUAUUUCCAUAUAAAACUCUUAUUGGAAAGGGUAGUUAAAGCACACCAGUAGAAGUCAUCCUUCUCCUACAGCUGCUGUGGGCUUGGAUGGCAGCGUGAGGCAGCUGGCCCUGCCGCAGACAAACGUGAUGCCCCUGCUCUGCUGCGGCAAGCAAGCAGCAGCCUGCUAUUCCCUGCAAUAUUUGCAUUUCCCAGAUUAAUUAAAUAUCAAACCAAACAAACCCCUCCAUGUGGCUUUACUGGGCUGUGUUGCUGCCUGUCACAAUAAGCAUGGAGACUUGGACAAGAGCGUGGCUCCUUAACCAAGUCAUGGCCAAGAAGAGUUCCCUGAGCCCCCUGGUUCUCCCCCAGACCCCGGGGGCUGCUCAGGACCCUCUCAGCCUACACGCCAUGUGCCACGGCAUUGCCUUGCUUUAAACCUAAAUUCCUCUUCAAGGCAGGGUGCUUAUUGCUUAGGUUAAUCACCCCUCAAUUCUAGUCCUUUUUUCUCUCUCUUUUUGAAAAGUGUGUUUUUACAGGCCAGCUGUGGUUUCAAAGGUCUCUUUAACUUUCAGUUUCUUUCCGUUUUUCAGGCACUAGUGAAAUGAUGAGUGUCCUUAGCACCUUCCUCUGCAGUGUUGACUAAAUUCAGAAACCUCACUUUAAACAGAAGAAAUAAAUGUACUUUGGUUCUGAUGCAUUGGUGGUGUUACCUCGCAUUGGAAUCAGAGAUUAAUAAAACCUGACUACGUUAAUGUGGAUACCUGAAGGACAGGAAAGAUAAUUUCAUCUGUAAAAAACACCAGGCCCUUUGCAGCAUGUGUCCAGGCUGAGUUUUUGUUUGUUCUCUGCCCCUGCAGGCUGGCCGGGCAGCCUCGGGGGCUCUGUGCGGUGGUUAGUGCAGACACAAGGCAGGAGUGGCAGUGGGUGGGAUGGGAAAAUAAGGGCGAUGCUUAAGGAAUGGAAGAGUUUUCUGUAGGGCUUUAAUGUAAGAUACACCUGUCGUGUUCUGCCUAAUGUGUGCUUCAUAUUUGGGUGUCUGAGUGAAUACUGGGUACAGUCCCCAGAGCUGUAAAAUCAAUGUGAUUUUAUAAUUGUGGCCUCAAUCAGCAACUGGAAGGGGCGGAUUUAGCCGUGAUGUGAAUCCAGGCAAGCUAAGCUGACGGGUCGAGGUCUUAACAAAGAUGCGAGACAGACAGAAGCAACCUGCUUGUACGGAGGAGCAGUGAUGGCUUAAGAGGCUUUUUGUCUCUGGGUCUUGUUCUCGCUCCUGUUGGCUGGGCAGGGCUGUGUCUCUGCCAGGGUGGUGGAAAGCCUGUGCCGGG